rnacentral:rRNA from 1 species
UACGAAGGGUGCAAGCGUUAUUCGGAAUUACUGGGCGUAAAGGGCGCGUAGGCGGUUCGUUAAGUCUGUCGUGAAAGCCCCGGGCUCAACCUGGGAAUGGCGAUGGAUACUGGCGAGCUAGAGUGUGUCAGAGGAUGGUGGAAUUCCCGGUGUAGCGGUGAAAUGCGUAGAGAUCGGGAGGAACAUCAGUGGCAAAGGCGGCCAGCUGGGACAACACUGACGCUGAAGCACGAAAGCGUGGGGAGCAAACAGG